GAUGAACGCUAGCUACAGGCUUAACACAUGCAAGUCGAGGGGCAGCAUGGUCUUAGCUUGCUAAGGCCGAUGGCGACCGGCGCACGGGUGAGUAACACGUAUCCAACCUGCCGUCUACUCUUGGACAGCCUUCUGAAAGGAAGAUUAAUACAAGAUGGCAUCAUGAGUUCACAUGUUCACAUGAUUAAAGGUAUUCCGGUAGACGAUGGGGAUGCGUUCCAUUAGAUAGUAGGCGGGGUAACGGCCCACCUAGUCUUCGAUGGAUAGGGGUUCUGAGAGGAAGGUCCCCCACAUUGGAACUGAGACACGGUCCAAACUCCUACGGGAGGCAGCAGUGAGGAAUAUUGGUCAAUGGGCGCAGGCCUGAACCAGCCAAGUAGCGUGAAGGAUGACUGCCCUAUGGGUUGUAAACUUCUUUUAUAAAGGAAUAAAGUCGGGUAUGUAUACCCGU
rnacentral:rRNA from 1 species